AUGAUGAGCUCCAAGAAACUAGCUCAACUUUCCAAGAAGUGGCAAGGAAUCAGUGCCAUCGGGCGAAGAAGGGUCACAACAACGGACAAGGAUGUGCACCCAUCCUCCAGCUCAGUUGCAGGCAAGGGCCACUUCGUUGUCUACUCCUCCGACGGGAGGCGCUUCGAGAUCCCCAUAGCGUGCCUCAACACGAUGAUCUUCGGGGAGCUCCUGAGGAUGUCGCAGGAAGAGUUUGGGUUCACAAGUGAGGGGAGGAUCACACUGCCAUGUGAUACGACAAUGAUGGAGUAUGUAAUGUGUUUGCUCAGGAGAGAGGCCUCUGAAGAUGUUGAGAGGGCGCUUCUCAACUCCAUUAUAACGACUUGCCACCAUCCAAGCAGAAUGAUGCAAGCAGCCACUGGACUUCACCAGCAAUUUGCUGUGCGCAGCUCCUGA
rnacentral:rRNA from 1 species